GAGGAAGUCACACUUACCUGCCUGCUGCCUGCCUUCCUUCUCCCAUAGCCAUGCUCUUGGCUGGGGAGAAAGGGUAGAUGUAGAGCCUCCAAGAGCUGCAGAACUAUUAAAAAUCCAGUGGGUUUCUUUCAUAAACACAUAGAUGCUUUUCUAAAUCCAGCAGAAAUCUGACUCCCUGACCUGAUUGUCAGACUUGUGGUCAGAAUCCCAGCACAUGAACUGGCACUGCUGCUGGGAAUUAUGAGUCACCCUUUCAUGUUCUUCCUGGUGUUGAAGCAAGUCUCUGCAGAGGAAAAAGAGCAAUCUGUCAGGGCACCUGAGAUACAAUGAUUCACCUCCUUGAUUGUUGAAAAUUGAAUCAACUUUUGAAAAGCAAUUUUGGUUUUAUAAAGUCAUAGUUUAUAAAGCUUCAGAAGUCAUUCCCAGGGGAUGCUUGAGGAUGAAUCAUCAAAGAACUGAUACCUGAAUCAGAGAGUGAUCAUUCAUGGGGCUUAGAAGUGUCAGACAAAUAGGCUCAUGAUUUGGCUUUACAUAAAUGGGCCAGGAAGAGAUGGUUGAGGAGUCUAUAGUCAUGGUACUGGGAAGGUCAAGGGAGGAAUAUCUCCUCUCCACGCAGGUUUAGCCUUUUGUCAACAAGAGAGACCCAAGAUCUGAUGGACACCAUAACUCAGUGUUUCCUAGGAUAGCCUAAAAGUUUCCACACCUGAAUUAAAUUCUAGAAAAUUAAAUUCUUUAAACUGAACAUCUGGACAGUCCUGCUGAGAUGCCAACCUCAAACUGUUGGAGUUGAAAUCUAAGGAACAUUUCUUCCAUCUGACCUGAAGAGUUUGGGAAAAGGGAAAGAAAAUGGACUUUUGUCACCUAUAAGCUGAGUCAGA
rnacentral:lncRNA from 1 species